UAGCUUUCACAUAGAAGGCGUAGAUUCGACAAAUUAAUAAACCAUAUAAAGCCGAUAUCAAAUUAGUACCAUCUACAUAGAGUUACAACUUUUUUAAUGUUUUAUUAAUUGUCAAUGUAAAGACUAAAGGUCAUGAAUUGAAAACUGAAAUAUUAACACGAAACUAAACAUCUCUUAGUGGAGUUGGCCUCCAAUGUCGAGAUAGGGGAAACGUUAAACCCAAACUUUUCGAGGAAAACGAUUUGAUUGAUAUUUGCUCUCCGGCAUUCUUUCAAAAGAUGAGCUGAGGAUAUUACACCAUGGCCGAGUUCCCCGGACCAUUCUGUGAACAGAAAAACAUAACCAAUGUGAUCUGCAGAAUGAGAAAAUUAGCAAAUUAAAACCUGAUUUUGCACUAUAAAAUGGACUUGUUCUGGAAAUAAACUCGUUCCUUGAAAGCAUUGGUAGAAAUUCAUAAGAUGUUUUGAACAUUCUAUCACAGCUUUAUUCUAGCCUCAAAGAUACAGUUAAUGUUAAAUCGCUGAAAAGUAAAAUAUCGCGCAUAUUCGACCAGAAGAAAAAACUGCAGUCAAAAAUGAAAGUUGCCAGCCUUAAAAGUGUGUCGGAACUGUUGUGUAAGACUUUCAUUCCACCACAACCAAUGAAACUUUCAUCAACAAUUCUUCAAGUUGUAGAAGAAAAACCGUUGUUGGUGGGUGUGUAAGAUUCAGAAGGACCCGAAUCAAACCACUCUGAGCUUUCACUCUUUUGAGUGUCUUUGAUUGCAAAAGCAAUUGUACACAUGAUGUAACAACUACAUUGAAUGUUAAGUUUUUUUUAUAUUAUUGACAUGUUGUGUUGUUUUGUUGUAUUUUGUGAUGUCUUUAUUUGAAGAAAAAAAAGUCGAAAAUAAAAUAUGUUUUUUGUGAUA